UUAAGUAGAAUUUCAAUAAUUAAUGUUUGAUGGAGUUUGGAAGUUACCGUAUUUUGAAGUAUCGUUUAACAUUCUUCUCUCAAUGAGUUUUCCUUUAAAAUUUGCAGUGAAUUUGUUUUCCUGUUUAUGCAUGAGAAUUUAGGUCUUAUUAAUUGGGGGAAAUUAAUGUUAAAGUAAUAAAUAAGCCCUUGUUGCAGCUUAUUGUUUCUUGAAAUGAAUUAACUAUCCAGGCAAAAGGUUAAAAAUGAAAAAAAAAGUCUUUGUAACUAAAUUUUUCCCAUUUUGUUGUGGUAUUUGAGGAGUUUACAAAUCAAAAUGUCCUGGGUUAAAAGGCAUCACAUGAGUUUGUGCCCAUUGCUUUUCAGUGUGAGGAGUCUGAUAGCAGCCCAUCCCAUUUGGGUGGGAAGGUUAUAGACCUUGCACAUUAAUGCCAUGCUCAAAGCAGAUUUGCAGGUAUCCUGCAACACAGGGACUUUCACAAAACCCGCUUUGGCUUAUUCUACCUGAACUACUUAUUUUAAUUAACUAAAUGGAUAUCCCAAGCAUUCCAUGUUUAUCCUGUUGCUCAGUGAAUCCUCAAAUCGUUAAUUUGGUAGAUUCUCUUUUUUGUCUUCAUACUAUUAUUUCUUUUAGCUUUUAAAAAAAUUGUGUACUGCCUACAGGUCUUUAUGGAAGUUUCACCUUUCUUUGUGUCGCACUGGCAUCGGCUGUAUAAUUUUUGCAGCUAGACCACAUUUUAAAAAAAUCUACAUUUUUGGAACUAGUAAAAGAUACUUAUUUGUGUUAUUUAAGUAUUCACGUCUUUUACCGUGGGUAGUUAAGUUUAAUAAUUUAAAAAGACACAUUUUAUCAGUAACAAUGUUCAUUUUAUUUUUCAGACUCUUCCCUCUACUACUUACUCUGUAUUUCUGUCUCUUCUAAUGACUAGGAAAGGCAGUUUCUCAAAAUCAUCUUCUAUUUAG
rnacentral:lncRNA from 1 species